rnacentral:rRNA from 1 species
GGAGGAUCCGAGCGUUAUCCGGAAUUAUUGGGUUUAAAGGGUGCGUAGGCGGCCAGAUAAGUCAGGGGUGAAAGUCGGCAGCUCAACUGUCGCAGUGCCUUUGAUACUGUUUGGCUUGAAUUCGGUUGAAGAUGGCGGAAUGAGACAAGUAGCGGUGAAAUGCAUAGAUAUGUCUCAGAACCCCGAUUGCGAAGGCAGUUAUCUAAGCCGUUAUUGACGCUGAUGCACGAAAGCGUGGGUAGCAAACAGGAUUAGAUACCCUGGUAGUCCACGCCCUAAACGAUGAUAACUCGAUGUUGGCGAUAUACAGUCAGCGUCUUAGCGAAAGCGUUAAGUUAUCCACCUGGGGAGUACGCCGGCAACGGUG